CAGCCGCCGCGGUAAUACGAAGGGGGCUAGCGUCGUUCGGAAUUACUGGGCGUAAAGCGCACGUAGGCGGAUAUUUAAGUCAGGGGUGAAAUCCCGCAGCUCAACUGCGGAACUGCCUUUGAUACUGGGUAUCUUGAGUAUGGUAGAGGUGAGUGGAAUUCCGAGUGUAGAGGUGAAAUUCGUAGAUAUUCGGAGGAACACCAGUGGCGAAGGCGGCUCACUGGACCAUUACUGACGCUGAGGUGCGAAAGCGUGGGGAGCAAACAGGAUUAGAUACCCCGGUAGUCCCUGUCUCUUAUAC
rnacentral:rRNA from 1 species